GUCAAUAGGAUGGCGGCAGCUUACACAUGCAGUCGAGCGGGGGAGGUAGCUUGCUACUGGACCUAGCGGCGGACGGGUGAGUAAUGCUUAGGAAUCUGCCUAUUAGUGGGGGACAACAUCUCGAAAGGGAUGCUAAUACCGCAUACGUCCUACGGGAGAAAGCAGGGGAUCUUCGGACCUUGCGCUAAUAGAUGAGCCUAAGUCGGAUUAGCUAGUUGGUGGGGUAAAGGCCUACCAAGGCGACGAUCUGUAGCGGGUCUGAGAGGAUGAUCCGCCACACUGGGACUGAGACACGGCCCAGACUCCUACGGGAGGCAGCAGUGGGGAAUAUUGGACAAUGGGGGGAACCCUGAUCCAGCCAUGCCGCGUGUGUGAAGAAGGCCUUAUGGUUGUAAAGCACUUUAAGCGAGGAGGAGGCUACUUUAGUUAAUACCUAGAGAUAGUGGACGUUACUCGCAGAAUAAGCACCGGCUAACUCUGUGCCAGCAGCCGCGGUAAUACAGAGGGUGCGAGCGUUAAUCGGAUUUACUGGGCGUAAAGCGUGCGUAGGCGGCUUAUUAAGUCGGAUGUGAAAUCCCCGAGCUUAACUUGGGAAUUGCAUUCGAUACUGGUGAGCUAGAGUAUGGGAGAGGAUGGUAGAAUUCCAGGUGUAGCGGUGAAAUGCGUAGAGAUCUGGAGGAAUACCGAUGGCGAAGGCAGCCAUCUGGCCUAAUACUGACGCUGAGGUACGAAAGCAUGGGGAGCAAACAGGAUUAGAUACCCUGGUAGUCCAUGCCGUAAACGAUGUCUACUAGCCGUUGGGGCCUUUGAGGCUUUAGUGGCGCAGCUAACGCGAUAAGUAGACCGCCUGGGGAGUACGGUCGCAAGACUAAAACUCAAAUGAAUUGACGGGGGCCCGCACAAGCGGUGGAGCAUGUGGUUUAAUUCGAUGCAACGCGAAGAACCUUACCUGGGCUUGACAUACUAGAAACUUUCCAGAAAAGGAUUGGUGCCUUCGGGAAUCUAGAUACAGGGGCUGCAUGGCUGUCGUCAGCUCCGGGCCGGGGAAGUUGGGGUUAAUUCCCCCCACCUACCCCACCCCUUUUCCUUUCUUUGCCAGAUUUUGGUGGGAAAUUUAAGGGUACCGG
rnacentral:rRNA from 1 species